AUUGUGUGUCAACACCUUCCUGGGCUUCUUUCAGAUUCAAAUGUAACAGAGCAACACAACACCUCCCCAAUGGAGCCCAGAAGGCAUACUCCAGAAAAUGCCACCUCAACCUCACCGCCACCAUACCCACCCACUCCCCACUGCCACCCUUAACCCCAACCUCACCCCAAUCGAAACCCAAACCACCCACUCCCCACCGCCACCCUAAACCUCAACCCCGCCGCCACCCUAAACCUCAAACCCCCCAAUAUGAGUUUAUGAGAGAAGGAGAAGGAGAAGAAGGUGAGAGAGGCGAUCUGCGAUUGUGUUUCUUUUUCUUGUUUUGGAUCUGCGAUUGGAAGGGGAUUUGAAUGAAGGGGCAAGAAAGGAUCUACCUUUGGCUGCAAUUCGAUGAAUAGAAGUGACUGAAGGUGGUGG
rnacentral:lncRNA from 1 species